rnacentral:tRNA from 1 species
AUUUUAGUAGUUCAUUAAUUAGAACACAGCACUGAAGAUGCUGAAGAGGGAAUUUUCCCCUAAGAUA